UUCUGAGGGUGGUUGAGGCCUGUGGAAAAUGCCCCUGAAGGACUUGUGUAGCAUUAGUGGAUGUUGUAAAGGUGGUAUGUGAACAACAGGAGCUGGAAUUCCUGGUCUGAUUGCUGCUGCUUCCGCUGGAAGCAAGAAUAGAAAGCAUACCCGGUGGGGAACUAGAAGGGCAAGCCAGAAGAGUUGUUGAUUAUUCUCCUAAAACAGAAAUAACUGGAUUGGAGGAGGAGACAGCAGGAGAUGAGGGCGCGCCAUCCAGAAUGGCACGGACCUGUGAGCGUGAGCCAAUAGGAAGGUCAGGGGUGGAGAGACAUCCCUGCCGAGGGAAGGCUAAGGAAAGUGGUAGAAAUAUGAGCGCACACAGAGGCACCCUGCGACCUGCCAGGCCUCGAAGAGCAAAGACCAGAGGCCUCGAUCGUCGUGUGCCAGAGGGGUGUGCUCAUCUCUGAUCCACCUCCUCCAUCUGGCAGGUAAGGAAUUAGGGGAAGGUAAGGAAUUCCCCCCAAUUCCAGAAUCAGGGGACGUUGGACUCCCAGGCUCAGAGUUCUUUCUCAAACUGCCACUGCCCGAUUUAUUAUGGGUAAUAAACUCAUGGUCUCAUAAAAAUGGAUGGAGUUUCAGGGAUUUCAAACAGAAAAACAAAAGCAAAAAAAUCCCCAGCAGUUUAUGUGGACGGUUUAUGACAGAGUGCAUUCUAAAGUCAUUGGGAAAAGAGAAAUAUAAAUAUUUCUAAACAUGAGUAAAUGCAGACAUGCAUUCGCAUCUCCUACAGACCACUUAGCUUCUUAGUAAAAAAUAUUUACAUUAGGGAUAGGAAUGAUGUCACAAUUUUCUUUGAAUGAGCUUUAUGAAACCAAAGGGUCUGAUACACAUGGUUUUCCCAGAACAAAAGGAUAGUGUAUGCAAGGUGAAUUUGAAUUUCAAUCUUUUCAGGAAAAAGUAGCUUACAAUUUAAAAAUCACUCUUUUCCUCCCCUUUUACUCACUAAAUUAAAAAAUAAUAAUAAUUAGGAAGCAAAUACUAGCUACUGGAUGCCAUUAGAAAUUCAAAUAACUUUUUUUUUUUUUUUUUAAGUGAGCUCCACGCUGGCACGGGACUCAAAGUCAAGAUGCUGAGAUCAAGAGUUGGACACUCAACCUACUGGGCCACCCCGCUCUCCCUAGAGAUCCAAAUAACUUUUCAAAGUAAGAAAUAAAACUGACUAAAAUGAAAAUAACUUACAUGAGAAAGCCCUAAAAAGUUUAAAGCAGAAGAAAACUAUAGUCCAAUCAUACCCAUAAAUAUUACUACAGAAAUGUUGAAGGAGGGGCACCUAGGUGGCUCAGUGGUUGAGCGUCUGCUUUCAACUCAGGUCAUGAUCCCAGGGUCCUGGGAUCAAGUCACACAUCAGGCUCCCCAUAGAGAGUCUGCUUCUCCCUCUGCCUAUGUCUCUGCCUCUCUCUCUUUGUGUCUCUCAUGAAUAAACAAAUAAAAU
rnacentral:lncRNA from 1 species